UAACAAUGAUUUCCCUAGUAACGGCGAGUGAACAGGAAAGAGCUCAAAGUUGGAACCUGUUUGGUUUAGCCAAACCGGAUUGUAAACUGUAGAAGUGUUUUCCUGGCACGCCUGACGAAAAAGUCCAUUGGAACAUGGUGACAUAGAGGGUGAGAGCCCCGUAUUUUGUCAGAGCUGUUGUCUCUUGUGAUACACUUUCAAAGAGUCAGGUUGUUUGGGAAUGCAGCCUAAAUUGGGUGGUAAAUCUCACCUAAAGCUAAAUAUUGCCAAAAGACCGAUAGCGAACAAGUACCGUGAGGGAAAGAUGAAAAGAACUUUGAAAAGAGAGUUAAACAGUAUGUGAAAUUGUUAAAAGGGAACCGGUUGGAGCCAGACUGGCUUGAUUGUAAUCAAUCUAGAUUUCGAUCUGGAUGCACUUGCAGUCUAUGCCUGCCAACGACAAUUCAUUCUGGAGGAAAAAACUAAGUGGAAUGUGGCCCCUCGGGGUGUUAUAGACUCUUAGAAAAUACUCUGGUUUGGAUUGAGGAACGCAGUGAAUGCUAUUUGGCGAAGAUGCUGGGUGCUUUUAUUUUUGUUGUCUAGAUUUCUGCUUCGGGUGGUGCUAGAUACCACGAGUAAAACUCGCCUAGUAUACUUUUUAUUCACUUAGGUUGUUGGCUUAAUGACUCUAAAUGA
rnacentral:rRNA from 1 species